AACAAUAUUUCAUAGCGUGGCUAGAAGACUUGGUCUACGUUGCGAUGUAGUAGAUAUGUGGUCUCGCGUCUGUAUAUCUUGGAAACCAGAAUUCGUCACGAAGAAUUUAGAAAAUGCAAGAUGUUUUUCCAUAAAAGACGAGAAAUUCCCGAAUUGUCUUGAUAAUUAUCUGCAAAAUUGCGAUUCUUAUGAAACAUAUGACGUCAGCAAAAUAAAAACUAAACAGAUGUCGUACAUAAUAAAAGCUAAAGUUGGAAGGUUUAUAAUAAAACAUAAAAUAUUCAAAUUGGGAUUAAUCCAAGUGAAUUGUAAUGUGUAAAAAACAUCCGCGCGCUAACAUAAUCGCAUAUUAGUAUAUAACAUAUACCAUUGUAAAAAUAAAGAGCAUUAUCAAUCUACAGAUUCGGACCAACAUAAUAGAUAAUAGGAUGUUAUUGACACAUACAUAUAUACAUACAUGUUCGACAAUUGAGA